rfam:Larimichthys crocea isolate SSNF unplaced genomic scaffold scaffold360, whole genome shotgun sequence.
UGUUCCCUUCUCUGUAGGUCGCUUUGGAUAAAAGCGUCUAUUAAAUGACUAAAU